rnacentral:tRNA from 1 species
GCCCAUUUGGCUCAGUGGAUAGAGCAUCGGCCUGUGAACUCCAGGGUCCCAGGUUCGAUUCCGGUCAAGGGCA